GAUGAAGAACGUAGCGAAAUGCGAUAAGUAAUGUGAAUUGCAGAAUUCAGUGAAUCAUCGAAUCUUUGAACGCACAUUGCGCCCGCCAGUAUUCUGGCGGGCAUGCCUGUUCGAGCGUCAUUACAACCCUCAGGCCCCCGGGCCUGGCGUUGGGGAUCGGCGGAGCCCCCCGUGGGCACACGCCGUCCCCCAAAUGCAGUGGCGGUCCCGCCGCAGCUUCCAUUGCGUAGUAGCUAACACCUCGCAACUGGAGAGCGGCGCGGCCACGCCGUAAAACACCCAACUUCUGAAUGUUGACCUCGAAUCAGGUAGGAAUACCCGCUGAACUUAAGCAUAUCAAUAAGCGGAGGA
rnacentral:misc_RNA from 1 species